GCCAAAGUAGUUCAGCAGGUUAGCGCGCCAGUCUGAAAAUCUGAGGGUCGUGAGUUCGAAUCUCACCUGAAGCA
rnacentral:tRNA from 1 species